rnacentral:rRNA from 1 species
CACGUAGUUAGCCGUGGCUUCCUCCUCAGGUACCGUCAUCAUCGUCCCUGAAGACAGAGCUUUACAACCCGAAGGCCGUCAUCACUCACGCGGCGUUGCUGCAUCAGGGUUUCCCCCAUUGUGCAAUAUUCCCCACUGCUGCCUCCCGUAGGAGUCUGGGCCGUGUCUCAGUCCCAAUGUGGCCGAUCACCCUCUCAGGUCGGCUACGCAUCGUCGCCUUGGUGAGCCGUUACCUCACCAACUAGCUAAUGCGCCGCGGGCCCAUCUCAUAGCGGAUUGCUCCUUUAAUUGCUACUUCAUGCGAAGCUACAAUCUUAUGCGGUAUUAAUCUCCCUUUCGGAAGGCUAUUCCCCUCUAUGAGGCAGGUUGCCCACGUGUUACUCACCCGUCCGCCGCUAGCUUUGUUCCGAAGAACUCCACUCGCUCGACUUGCAUGUGUUAGGCACGCCGCCAGCGUUCGUCCUGAGCCAGGAUCAAACUCU